UAUGGUCCUUAUCGAAGUUAUAGUUGCUUCCACAUAGCUGUUGUGAUCAAAAAGGAGCCCAGAGUGACAGUCAAUUGAUGGUCACUGUUUUGUUUGCUACACUUGACCUGCAAUGUUUUGGGAAAAUACAGUU
rnacentral:snoRNA from 1 species